AAUGAACGCUGGCGGCGUGCUUAACACAUGCAAGUCGCACGAGAAUUCUUCUGCUUGCAGAAGAUAGUAAAGUGGCGCACGGGUGAGUAACGCGUGGGUAAUCUACCUCCGAAUCGGGGAUAACAUCGCGAAAGUGGUGCUAAUACCGGAUGACAUCAUUGCAUCUUUGGAUGCGAUGAUCAAAGGUGGCCUCUACAUGUAAGCUAUUGUUUGGAGAUGAGCCCGCGUACCAUUAGCUUGUUGGUAGGGUAACGGCCUACCAAGGCGACGAUGGUUAGCUGGUCUGAGAGGAUGAUCAGCCACACUGGAACUGACACACGGUCCAGACUCCUACGGGUGG
rnacentral:rRNA from 1 species